CCCCGCCACCCGCAGCUCCGCCCGCCGGGCCGGGACCCGGCGGAGGCGGGGAGGGGCGGGGCGGGGGCGCACCUGUUUGGCCAAUCGACCCCACUCCUGCCACCCCGCCCCGGCCAGCCUUCCAGACUGAGCAAGUCCGGUCCCCUCGGCUCUCGGCACACGCCCCCUGUCCGCUCUCGGACCCGGGAUCCAGGCCGGGCCACAUGCUCCCCUCCCUCCCCUUCCCGGUCCCAGCCGGCCGUCUCAGCCAGCCCGCCGAGGCCCUCCGUGCGGCCGGGCUGCGCUCCUUCCCCAGCCCCCGGGACGUCAAAGACAAAAUGCCGGCUUCGGGCUGGGGGCUGGGGGGGGGUACAGGUCUGAGGACUGCACCGCGACUCUGCCCACCCCUCUUCUACUCAACACCCUCCUCUCCCACAAGGAUUCGCGCGCGUCCUCGGGCCCCUUACACUUCGCGACAGGAAGACUGAGGCCGAAGGGAAGCGAACGCUUCUCAGACGUGGUGGCCGGACUGCGACUUUUUCAAACUAAAGGCGCUGAGCCCUGGAACAGUCCCUGAAAAACCCCCUGCACGAGAGAGAAUACGUCUCAGAGCCUGCCUCCCAGAAAGCCCAGCCUGUGACAGGGAGCGCGGGAGGCCCUUGCUGUGCGUCCCGCUGACGGGAAUGACCCAGGAGAGGGGGAGAGGUGAGUGAUAUUCAUGGAAGCAGGCGAGAUCUCAGGAGGGGCAGCGAGGCUGGCUCAUCCUGAGACAGAAGCAGAAAUUGGAGGCAAUCUGGGGUGGGAAUGGGGUCCGGAAAUGGAGUGAGGCAUGGCCUUAACUUUUUUUUUUUUUUCCUAUGCGGCUGCAAGUGACGUUGGCUGCUCAGAGGAGGGACAGCUAUUAGAUAGAUAUUAGAAUUACAUAAGAAAUUAAUGAUCAUAGUGGGUGAUAAAUGUUGCCACAGCAGUAGUGAGGAAUUCAGGGCUUCAAAGAGUGGAUAGGAGUUGGCCAGGAGGUGUGCCCAUCAGGGAAAGUCGUAUCAGGCAGAGGAAACAGCUAGUAACCGGAAGCCAGCUGGGCUAGGAUUGCCAGAUGAAAUCCAAGAUGCCCAAUUAAGUGUGAAUUUCAUAUAAACGACGAAUAAUUUUUUAGCGUAAGUCUGUCUUAUGCAACACUGGGGACAUACUUAUACCAAAAAAUCAUCCAUUAUCAUCCUUCAUCACCUUCUGACCCUGUUCCUGCCAGCUGCCCACGAGUGGACCGCCCAGACUGUAGCCCAGGUCCCGCUCAGAUUCCACUGUAUCCCUCCCAUUAUCCAAACCCUUGGUUGUCAUUUGAGGUCUCUAUUGUCUGAUCCUCGGGCACUCUUCCAACCCCAUCUCCCAUCCUUGAACCUGCCCCUGCUUUAAUCUCCUGCCUCUGCGUUUUUGCCCCACUGUUUCCUCCACUACCCUACCAUGCCCUCCCCAGGUCCACUCCUCCAGGAGGCCUCCUAGAUUUCUCUGGGAGAAUAGACAUAAUCCUCUCCAUCAAUCAGUAGCAGCCGCCCCUUGGGCAAGUCAUUUCACAUCUCUGAGCCUCCGCUUCCUGUGUCUCUAAAAUGGGGACAAUACCACCUCUGUCAGGUUGCUAAGGGGACGAGAGACCAUGUUCAGAGAGCACCAGGCACCGUCUGAAAUGUGGGCACGUGCCCCCUGCGCGUGCCUAGAUCAGUGCCGGGCACCCAGCGGGCACAAAUACAGGUUCGCUGAAUGGAACCGACUCAAAGGUCCUGAGCUUUUGUAGUUUAAUUUGCUUCUUGGAAUUGCCAUGCUCAACAGUGGAACUUAGACAAAUUCAAUUUCCUAUAUUAAGAUGAUCUGAAAAGAGAUGAAUAAUGAAGCCACUGCUCUCCUGACUGCAUAACAGGUUUCUCCCCCAGUUGACAAGGGACCAAACCAGCUCCCCAGAAAUGGCCCAUUUUAGAAUCAAACAUGGCGCCCGGCCUCUCCUGCUCGAAGCAGGUAAUAUCUGCCACACACAUUUCUGUCUCAAGCCCUCCCAAUCCCAGACCACAAAAGGUGAUUUCUUAUAACCAUUAGCAUAAUUACCUGACUGCAACGCUACAGAGAAGCGAUUAGAUGAGCCUGUGAUUUUUGCACAGUUAUUUGUCUCAAGUAAGUCACCUGAAGUUCAUCUGCCAUCAGGAUUCAUGGCUGCAUUCUGUAAUCGUGGGGAAUUAUUUUGCUAAUAACAGAGGUACCUUGAUCUAAUUUAGUUUUAAUGCCAGGAGGUGCCCUCCCAGAAUAAUCAGCUCCAGGGCAAUUCCAAUUUCCAGGUUUGUUACACGUUCUGGAGAGAAGAUUCAAUUCAAAGAGGCUGAAGUUACUUCUUUAUCACCCAAAGUCAUCUCGGGGCGAAAUGGAAUCCUACUCCUUGUGUGUUUGCAGAAAAAUGCAGGGGGUCGAGCCACAGGGAGCAGGUGGCAGGGUGGUCCCAGCCAAGGGCAGCCGCGGGAAGGCACCACUAAUGGGUGAGGACCGCAAGACAUUCCCUGGGAGAACCCUCAUUUUUCUUGCAUUCAUUCAUUCCCUCAUUCAUUCUUUUAUCCCAUUCUGGGCUCUCUCCUCUGCAAGACCUAGUCUCUGCUGUUAUUUGAAAUCAAAGAUUGAUAACAAACACUUAGGCGGCCCCAUUCUAGGUACUUUAUGCUUAUUAACUCAUUACUUCCCAUCAGGCAGGUGCGUGCGACUGUUAUCCCUAUUUUACAGAUGCGAAAGCCGAGGCAGGGAGGUUACGACACUUGCCUCAAGUCACACAGUUAGUAAGGGGCGUAGCUGGGGUUUGAUCCUUAGAUUGUGAGCUCCCUCAAGUUCAUGUACAAGGAAGGACCCUGAGCCCACCAGGACCUGUUCAGCCCCUACUCUGUGUUCUCAUGUACCCCUCACAACAACUCUGAUAUGGGAGUAUCGUUAGUCCCAUUUUCUCGAGGAAGAAACUGAGUCUCAAGAGGAGGUUAAGCUGGCCCAGGUCAGGUGAGUAAAUGGAGGAGUUGAGGCUUGGCCCCUGAGAUUCUGAUUCUCUAUCUGCUGCUACUCUAGCUGAAGCCAGGAAGGCUGUGUAGCGUCUUUGAACAGCUUUGGAAAUGGGCCGGGCCGAGUGCAAGUGAACCACGGGCACGGUGACCAGCCACCCAGCUCAGCUUUUCCCUUCCCACUCUGGAGCAGUUCCUCUGUCCCAUCCACCCCCCUCACCCCAGCAACCAGUGUCCUUUGCCGCCAUUCGGUGUUAUCAGACCAAACCUGCUUCCAGACUCCUAUUCUUCAAUCACAUUCAUGCUUUCAGCAGAGAGGUGUGGGUUCCAGCAGGAAGGGCCAGGAGGCUGACGUGGCUCUGCCAUUCCAUUCCUCCCUCGGCCUUGGCCUCCCCAUCUAUUUGAGGAGGUGGGUUCUUUUCAAACCGAUGGAGCUCCCGAACCCUCGUUUCAAACGAAAAAUUUUACGCAAGCCCGGUAUUCACGUCAGAUGAAAGCCGGCUGCUCUGAGUGGAGCUGUGUUCGGGGAAGAGGGGGUUCUCUCUUAUUUUGGCAUCUUAUUGGGACCCCCCGGAUUCUUCCAACAGUUGGAAAACCCCUGGCCUGGCCAGAGUCUGUUGACUCUUGAGGUUCUUAGGACUACGGAAUCUGAGCUCCACUGAUGGCUGACAAUACCCGCAGUGCAGGUGGUCAGCUAAGUCCCUCCCUGGGUGUCCCCGUCCCCCUGAACAUCUGUCCUGCCUUGAUAGGGGCACCCAGGGCCAAACUCAGGAGGGGCAUGGCAGCAAGGCCAGGUUGUGCCCAAGGCCCUGCCUCUGGGGCGCUGAGCUGUCCGGGAGCGUGAGCGCAAAGAAAUGAUAUCCGCCUGUCCGCACAGGCCCGUGGGGUCAGCCUGCCGGGCACACUCACUGGUGACCGUGAGGAGAGGCUAGUCCCCUCCCACUGCUGCCUAUGCGUUGUCUCUCUCUUGUCUUCUCCCUUCUCUAAAAACAUGUUUUUCAUCCCUCCCUCUCUCUCCUUCCUUCUAAAAUGCUCAGCUUUCUUUGCCGGGCCUACGGCUGCAGGGGGUGCGGCCCCAGGACGGAGGCUUCACACACAAAGACAGCUGCGUCCUGGAGCAAUCAGCACUAGCAAUCGCAGGAGCUGGGACCGCCUCCUGGAGGCAUGGGUCACCAAAGGGCACCGACGCAUGUGUGGGAGUUAGCCCAGUUCGGGGACACUGCAGGUGGGAGGAUGUGGGCGCCCCAGGCUCAGAAGAGAGGCCUGGAGAGGCUGUCAGUCCCUGGGUGUGGCUGAAGUGUGGACUUGGUGGGGGGGGGGGGGGGGCGGGGGGCGUGUGGCAGGUGGAGUGAGACCAGCACCCUCGAAAGGCUGUCCCAGGGCUGUGGGCUGGUCCUGAGGGUCGUGGGGAGCCAGGAGCGAUGCGGAGAUCAGUGCACAUUUCAGAAGCUCAUCUGGCUGCACACUCGUUUGGGGCAGGGGGGAGGGGGGGGGAGACUGUGAAAGUGGGGCUUUCCUUCCCCUUGUCACCACCCCCUCCCCUGCCCUUACCUUCCCUCAACAUCCUCCAUGUGGCCUUGUUUCCCUCUGAGACAUAUCCUGUGCACAGAAGAGAAUAGGGGCUUUGGGCGGCCGGCUGUUCCCACCUUGGCCUGGCCCCAGCUUGGAAUGCAGCCCUUGACCCCUUCACCCCCAGGACCAUGGGGUCAGAAUGAGUUGGAAAGUCCAUGCAGAUUGGCUGGGAUGCUUUGAUUUUAGGCCCUCUGUUUGUGAACAGGAACUCAAGCAGAAGGUUAGCUUCCCCACCCCCUUCUAGUCCUUUCUAUCCAACUCUGGGCUCUGACAGCCCCUGCCCCAGCCUUGCAGCCCCUCUUGGCUCUCGGAUCACUGCCUUCCCACCCCCCAUGCUGCGGUGGGGGAGGGGGAGGUUCCAUCCCCAAACACAAGCCCUUUUGUCCCACCACUCAGCUGGGCAUCUGCGUUGGCAUCCAGUGGGCAUCCACACUCACUUAGCCUGGGGCGGCUGCAGGACGAGGUGGGCACUGAGGGGCAGGGACCAGGGGCAGGAGUGCAGGCGAUUGCUGGCUACAUUUUGGACCCUGCCCCUCCCCUGCUCAAAUCCCUUCCAGGGCUCCUGCUUACUGCGGGACGUCAUCCUUAACCAGGGGCGAUUUUAUCCCGCAGGGAACAUUUUUCAAUGGCCGGAGACAGUUUUGAUUGGCACCACUUGGGCUGGGGGAGGGGCAGGACAGCCGGCCGGACAGAGUUGUCUGGCCCUAAAUGUCAAUAGUGCCAAGGCUGAAGGUCCUACCUGAGGGUAAAGCUCCCCCCACCACGUCUUCACUCAUCCCCCUCCCCCGCCCGCCCCCAGCCUUCCCAGCAGUCACUCCCAGGCUUCCGGUCAAACCCUCUAGAAGCUCAUUCCCACCUCAGUCCCUUUGCUUCUGCUGUUUCUCCUGCUGAGGUGCGCUCCCUGCUGCCCUCCACUUACCUAAAUCUCAUUUCUCUCCACCCCCUCUACCUGUGGGGGCUCUCCCCUGCUGCCCUCGCCAGCUGCCUCUCCCAGAAGCUGGCUCUGACUGCAUGGUGCCCUGAUUCCUCCCUUCACCUGAUGGCUUUGGCCCUCCCAAGUCUCAGCCGGCACAUCUACGUAAUGGGUGGGACAGGCAGGUGGAGACAGCCCCUCCUGCUUCUCCCUGGAACGCUGGGGAUACGGGGCACUCUGUGUAGGCACAUGGUGGGACCCAUGCGGGCUUUGGAGUUAGCAGGCCAAGGUUCGAAUCCUGACUUGGCUGCUUCCUAGUAAUUUGACCAGAGGUUAAUCACCAAACGUCUCUGUGCCUCAGCUGCCUCCUUUGUAAAAUGGGUUUUCCAGAGAGUUCCAUGUGCUGUGCGGUGUCCCGUCCCUGUCUUUGUUCCCUGUCUGGCUGGCUUAUCUUGUCAAGAUGCACUGCCCUUCCUGGCCAAUUUCAGAUGGACAGCCACCUACUCCUGCCCUCCUACUUCUCCCUAGAAGCUGAGCUUGCAGGGACUUUGGGGAACGGAGACCUCUGGAGCCUCAGCACUGCAAACCAGCUGAGCAGGACUGGGUGAGUGGCCAGGAGCCCAACCGGCCUUCUUGGCUCCCCUCUCAGCUUCUCAGUCCCUUCCCAGGCUCAGCGUCUCCUGCUGGGACUGUGACCUCCCACAGGUGGGCAGCCACCCGGACUUAGCUGACCUGGCUCAGAGGAGGGGACACUCUGUUGCACAGAAGUGUAGAUUGGGGGUCUUAGGGAUUAUGGGGGGGGGGGAAGCACAGAAACAGACUCUUAAACACAGAGAAAAAACUGAUGGUUGGCAGGGGGCGGGGAUGGGCCAAAUAGGUAGAGGGGAUUCAGAGGGGCAGACCUCCGGUUAUAAAAUACCUAAGUCACAGGGAUGAAAAGCAUAGCGUGGGGAAUAGAGUCAAUAAUGUUGUAAUUAUUUUGUUUGGUGACAGAUGGUAAGUUCGCUCACAAAAGUACAUUUCGUAAUGUAUGUGAUUGUCAACCACUAUCAUGCGUACCUGAAACUGAUAUAACAUUGUAUUUCAACUUCAAGGAUAGAUAGAUACAUAGAUACACAGAUACAUAGAUACAUGGAUAGAUAGAUCAAACAUGGGCCCCCCAGGCUCCAGUACCCUCUUCCUCCAAUUCCAGUAGCUGCCCCUUAGAAUCACUAUAGGGGGCAGAGAGACAGAAAGAGACAGAGGGACAGUGAAAGACAGAGAGAUGGAAAGAGACAGUGAGAGACAGAAUGAGACAGAGAGAAACAGAGCAAGAGAGAGAGAUUGGGGGGGGGGGCCCUGUCCAUCCCCUCCAAGCUAUCCGAGGCUCAGUCUGGGGGAAGAACCCCAGAUGAGAGCACACAGCUACCCUACUCACCCUCCACAGAGCUGGCGAAAGGCAAAGUUAAAGGCUCUCUGAGUAGGCACCCUCCCGUGCACCCUGGCUUCCGGGCCAUGGAGUUGGCAUGGCCACUGGGUCAAGGAUGGGCCUCACCUCUCUAUCCGUCCCCAUCCCCAACUCUGGGAAGAUACCUGGAGGGAAAGCAGCCCCCCAGAGGGCCCCUUAGGGAGGCCCUGAAUGCAACCCCCCUCUUCAGCUUUGGGAGGCCAGAGCGCAGCCACGCACCCUCCCUCCUGACCUCUCUGUCUACCUCGUGGUUCAGCCUCACACAGCGGUUCCCCUCCCUCCACUGCCGCUGCUCCUAGCAGCUGCCUUCUACCCCAUCAUUAGCAAAAGCAAGUGAGGCUGUUUAUCUGAGAUUUGGGUCAAGGGAGAAAGAGUCCAGGGCAGAGGUGGGGGUGGGGGCUGGCAGAAAGGCACCCCAGCUGCCACUUCAGGGAACUGUGCAGCCUUGAGCCGGCUUUUCUGGAGCCCAGACCCACUGGUUCUGGUGCAGAGUGGGUGGAAACUCUACAGGGGGGGCAUGUGGGACCCCCACGGGCUCACAAGUUCACUCAUGGGCUUUUGCAGACACGGCCAGCCAAGAUGGAGACCCACUCACAUGUACACCGUCCUACUCACACAGGCUCAUGCCCUCAACAUGCAUUCAUGUGCACACACACACACACACACACGCAGGCACGCCAGGAUGUAGGUCACUGGCUAGAGUGCCUCUGGCCGGGGGUUAUGAGGAUCCAGCCAUCCGGCACAUGCUUCUGGAUUGGACAAAAAUGAACCCCUCCCUUCGCCUGCCUCUCCCCUCUGCUCGCCUGAGUCAGCCUGACCCAAAGCCUCUCAAGGCUUCUGUUUGGUUUUCCCUAGAAUCCCGCUGGCUGAGACUGCUGGGAACCAGCUCUAUCCAGGGAGGGGCGGGGCUCCCGGGCCGCAUGGCUUUUUUCCAUGUGUGUCUGUGUUGGCGGGGGAUCCCUGUACAGGACAAUGUGGAGGCUUCAAGAGACAGAGGGAUGUGGCCCCACCUUGAAGACUUCCAAGACAUAGCUCAUGAGAUGCCUUAAGACUAGAUGAGGUAAUGGCCAAGAGGGUACAGUCGAGGAGAAAAUAGAGCAGCCAUAGCCAGGCUGAUCAGGGCUGCCUUCCUGGAGGAGGUGGCAGGACUUGGCUGGGCAGUUGAGUGAAGGCUCCACAAAACCUAGGGAAAGGAGUGGUCCUUACACAGCUGGGAAGACCCUAGAUGCUUCUGUCCUCCACCCUGGAGCUGGGGCCUCUCCAGAGGUCAGGUCUGGAAGGACCGUCAUAGACUCUUCUAUAGAAAACUCACCGAUGGCCCGUAGGCUUUACAGACACAGCAAGCCCAGGACAUCAAUCCCCCUACUCCCCAGAAUCUGCUUUUCCGCCCACAUGCCCCCACACCAACAUUCCUGCCACACAGGCCAGAGGCCAAGUCAUCCUGACCUCUUUCUUCACCCCACCCCCUUCAGCCUCCAAGUUUCCGGUCUGGCUGGUGGAACAGCUCACAGCCCAGAGGCGGAGACAGGCAGGGAAGCCAAUGGACUAUACUCAUCAGUGUGUGGCGGGACAGCAGGAGGCCCAGGGUGCCCAUGGGCUCAAACGAGGUAGUCAGUAGUCGGGGAAGGCUUCCUGGAGGAGGCGACAUCAGAGCUGAGACCCAGGAUGAGCAGGAGUGGCCAGGCUGGGGCAGAAGUAAUAGGGAGAGGUGUGAUGGAAGGGUGGUCCAGGCAGGCAGCACAGCAAGUGCGAAGUGAGGGAGGAAGAGAAAGACAGCACAUUCGAGGCAGGGAUUAAUUCAUGCCCAUGCCAAUGGGGCAGUCACACCAUCCUGGGCUCAGGCCGGCACUGCCUGGAGGCCAUGUGAAUGAGUUUACACUUUAUCUGUUGUAGCGGGUGCCCUGGGGGACUUUAAGAUGCCGGUGAGUGGUCCCCUUGGCUACACAGAGGAAGAUGAGUCUGGGACACCUGUUGAGUUGGAGAGAGCCCGGAGGGGGUGAGGCAGCCCUUCUAAGAGUCCAAGGUGGGGCCUGGCCUCAGGUGGGGGCUGGGAGCUGGAGCUAAGGCAGGUCUCAGGACCACGUAGGAGGUAGAAUGGAUCUCGAGGAGUUCUGGCUCUUUCUCUCUCUGGCCCCCAUCUUCCCAUCGUGGAAUGGAGGAUGGGCAGGAGGCCCCCCAAAGACCCUCUCCCUUGGCCUCCUCACAGCUGGGGCCAUUUUCUGCUUGCUCCAGCCUCCCUGGACUUCUGGAAGUGACCUCUGGGGAGGAAUCCCGGCUGGGAGGGACACAGCCCUGGCUUCAGGAGGCCUGGGGUGGUGUCGGCCGCCCAGGGCACAUCCAGCCGGCAGAAGGAAACACCACAGCAGUCCCAGGCUGGGUCAGCCCGAGGCAGUGGCCAUCCAGGACAACUUAAGAAGGAAUGAUGUAUUGGCGUGGUCCUCACAAAACUCCUACUGUCCCCAGCCCGCUGAGGAGGAGGAGGUCAAGGCUCAGAGAGCCAAGCGGCCCGGGAUGGAAGCCUAGGUCUGUGCACUCAGCACAGCGCAGCUCAGGAGGGGGCCCACCACGAGUGGGAGGGGAGGACAGGGGAGAGUGUCUUUGCUUUCUAAACAAUAAGAGCUCCCGAAUGAGCCCCCCCCCACCUUCUCCCACCAGGAGCCUCUCUCCCCGGGGGACGCCAGCUCCUUUUUCCUGAGUUUUCUCCUGACCCUGCCUGGCCCAGAUCCAGACACAGGGGCUGCCCUCCGCAUCCCCCUCCCUGGGCCCCACUCCCUGGCCUUCUUGUAUGGCCGCUCAGGCGUGGGUACAUAAAUGAUUUAAGCCCCUCCCGUCCAUCCUCAUUGUUCUUCUUUAUUGACCAUUCUUCCUGAUUUAGCCUCUUCCCAGCGUCCCAUGGGGCAAGAAGGCGUGUGUGUGUGUGUGUGUGUGUGUGUGUGUGUGUGCGUGUGUGUGUGUGUGUACUCCACCCCUUGUCCACCUGCCCAGCUGGGGAAGGUCAGAGGCCCAGGCAUGACUGGCCAGCCAGAAUGAGGCUUCCCUGGGACCCAGAGGGGUUUUGGAUUGGGGGCCAGAGUAUUCGGGGAGCAGCCCAGAGUGGUGGACAAAAGCAUAGUAGUCUUGGGGGCAUCUGGGUGGCUCAGUCGUUGAGCACCCAUCCGACUUCGGCUCAGGUCAGGAUCCCACAGUCAGUGAGUUUGAGCCCCGCAUCGGGCUCUCGGCUGUCAGCGCAGAGCCCACUUCAGAUGCUCUGUCCAACCUCUCUCCCUGCCCCUCCCCUGCUUGUGCUCUCUCUCUCUCUCUCUCAAAAAUAAAAACAAAAACUUUUUUAAAAAGUACAA